rnacentral:rRNA from 1 species
GAUGAACGCUGGCGGCGUGCUUAACACAUGCAAGUCGAACGGAGCGCCUUUGAAAGAGGAUUCGUCCAAUUGAUAAGGUUGCUUAGUGGCGGACGGGUGAGUAACGCGUGAGGAACCUGCCUUGGAGUGGGGAAUAACAGUCCGAAAGGAUUGCUAAUACCGCAUACGUCAGCGGCGCCUACGGGCGCUGUUGGGAAAGAUGGGCCCUCUCCUUGGAAGCUAUCACCGGAAGAUGAGCCCGCGUCCCAUCAGCUAGUUGGUGAGGUAACGGCUCACCAAGGCUUAGACGGGUAGCUGGUCUGAGAGGAUGAUCAGCCACACUGGGACUGCGACACGGCCCAGACUCCUACGGGAGGCAGCAGUGGGGAAUAUUGGGCAAUGGGCGAAAGCCUGACCCAGCCACGCCGCGUGAGUGAUGAAGGCCUUCGGGUCGUAAAGCUCU